GCGAGCUGAAUUCAAAGAUCCCUUCGGGGUGAUUUGUUGGACGCUAGCGGCGGAUGGGUGAGUAACACGUGGGCAAUCUGCCCUAAAGACUGGGAUACCACUUGGAAACAGGUGCUAAUACCGGAUAACAACAUGAAUCGCAUGAUUCAAGUUUGAAAGGCGGCGCAAGCUGUCACUUUAGGAUGAGCCCGCGGCGCAUUAGCUAGUUGGUGGGGUAAAGGCCUACCAAGGCAAUGAUGCGUAGCCGAGUUGAGAGACUGAUCGGCCACAUUGGGACUGAGACACGGCCCAAACUCCUACGGGAGGCAGCAGUAGGGAAUCUUCCACAAUGGACGCAAGUCUGAUGGAGCAACGCCGCGUGAGUGAAGAAGGUUUUCGGAUCGUAAAGCUCUGUUGUUGGUGAAGAAGGAUAGAGGCAGUAACUGGUCUUUAUUUGACGGUAAUCAACCAGAAAGUCACGGCUAACUACGUGCCAGCAGCCGCGGUAAUACGUAGGUGGCAAGCGUUGUCCGGAUUUAUUGGGCGUAAAGCGAGCGCAGGCGGAAUGAUAAGUCUGAUGUGAAAGCCCACGGCUCAACCGUGGAACUGCAUCGGAAACUGUCAUUCUUGAGUGCAGAAGAGGAGAGUGGAACUCCAUGUGUAGCGGUGGAAUGCGUAGAUAUAUGGAAGAACACCAGUGGCGAAGGCGGCUCUCUGGUCUGCAACUGACGCUGAGGCUCGAAAGCAUGGGUAGCGAACAGGAUUAGAUACCCUGGUAGUCCAUGCCGUAAACGAUGAGCGCUAGGUGUUGGGGACUUUCCGGUCCUCAGUGCCGCAGCAAACG
rnacentral:rRNA from 1 species